rnacentral:rRNA from 1 species
CCACACGAUCGGAAAUGUGUGUCCAAGCAACAAGUCUGAGAACGAGUGAAAUGCUUUUUCUCUCAAGGACAAGUUGUGAUGGGGAGCGAAAUUUAGUAGCGAAGUUCCUGAUGUCACACUGCCAAGAAAAGCUUCUAGUGAGAAAGUAACUGCCCGUACCGCAAACGGACACAGGUAGUUGAGGAGAGAAUCCUAAGGCGUGCGAGAGAACUCUCGUUAAGGAACUCGGCAAAAUGACCCCGUAACUUCGGGAGAAGGGGUGCUGACCGCAAGGUCAGCCGCAGUGAAUAGGCCCAAGCGACUGUUUAUCAAAAACACAGGUCUCUGCAAAAUCGAAAGAUGACGUAUAGGGGCUGACGCCUGCCCGGUGCUGGAAGGUUAAGAGGAGAGGUUAGCGCAGGCGAAGCUUUGAAUUGAAGCCCCAGUAAACGGCGGCCGUAACGAUAACGGUCCUAAGGUAGCGAAAUUCCUUGUCGGGUAAGUUCCGACCCGCACGAAAGGCGUAACGAUUUGGGCACUGUCUCAACGAGAGACUCGGUGAAAUUAUAGUACCAGUGAAGAUGCUGGUUACCCGCGACAGGACGGAAAGACCCCAUGGAGCUUUACUGCAGUUUGAUAUUGCGUGUUUGUAUCACAUGUACAGGAUAGGUAGGAGCCAAUGAUACCGGGACGCCAGUCUCGGAGGAGGCAACGGUGGGAUACUACCCUUGUGAUAUGACCACUCUAACCCGCUGCUCUUAGCGAGCAGGGAGACAGUGUCAGACGGGCAGUUUGACUGGGGCGGUCGCCUCCAAAAAUGUAACGGAGGCGCCCAAAGGUUCCCUCAGAAUGGUUGGAAAUCAUUCGUAGAGUGUAAAGGCAGAAGGGAGCUUGACUGCGAGACCUACAAGUCGAGCAGGGACGAAAGUCGGGCUUAGUGAUCCGGUGGUUCCGCAUGGAAGGGCCAUCGCUCAACGGAUAAAAGCUACCCUGGGGAUAACAGGCUUAUCUCCCCCAAGAGUUCACAUCGACGGGGAGGUUUGGCACCUCGAUGUCGGCUCAUCGCAUCCUGGGGCUGUAGUCGGUCCCAAGGGUUGGGCUGUUCGCCCAUUAAAGCGGUACGCGAGCUGGGUUCAGAACGUCGUGAGACAGUUCGGUCCCUAUCCGUCGCGGGCGUUGGAAAUUUGAGAGGAGCUGUCCUUAGUACGAGAGGACCGGGAUGGACACACCGCUGGUGUACCAGUUGUUCUGCCAAGAGCAUCGCUGGGUAGCUAUGUGUGGACGGGAUAAACGCUGAAAGCAUCUAAGCGUGAAGCCCCCCUCAAGAUGAGAUUUCCCAUCACUUUAAGUGAGUAAGACCCCUGAGAGAUGAUCAGGUAGAUAGGUUGGGAGUGGAAGUACAGCGAUGUAUGGAGCGGACCAAUACUAAUCGGUCGAGGACUUAACCG